AGAGUUUGAUCCUGGCUCAGAUUGAACGCUGGCGGAAUGCUUUACACAUGCAAGUCGAGCGGCAGCGCGGGGCAACCUGGCGGCGAGCGGCGAACGGGUGAGUAAUGCAUCGGAACAUGUCCAUGUCGUGGGGGAUAGCCCGGCGAAAGCCGGAUUAAUACCGCAUACGCCCGAGAGGGGAAAGCAGGGGACCGCAAGGCCUUGCGCGAUUGGGUUGGCCGAUGUCCGAUUAGCUAGUUGGCGGGGUAAGAGCCCACCAAGGCGAUGAUCGGUAGCUGGUCUGAGAGGAUGAUCAGCCACACUGGGACUGAGACACGGCCCAGACUCCUACGGGAGGCAGCAGUGGGGAAUUUUGGACAAUGGGGGCAACCCUGAUCCAGCCAUUCCGCGUGAGCGAAGAAGGCCUUCGGGUUGUAAAGCUCUUUUGUCCGGAACGAAACGGUUAGGUCUAAUAAGCCUGACUACUGACGGUACCGGAAGAAUAAGCACCGGCUAACUACGUGCCAGCAGCCGCGGUAAUACGUAGGGUGCGAGCGUUAAUCGGAAUUACUGGGCGUAAAGCGUGCGCAGGCGGUUUUGUAAGCCAGAUGUGAAAUCCCCGGGCUUAACCUGGGAAUGGCAUUUGGGACUGCAAGGCUGGAGUUUGGCAGAGGAGACCGGAAUUCCUGGUGUAGCAGUGAAAUGCGUAGAUAUCAGGAGGAAUACCGAUGGCGAAGGCAGGUCUCUGGGCUGAAACUGACGCUCAUGCACGAAAGCGUGGGGAGCAAACAGGAUUAGAUACCCUGGUAGUCCACGCCCUA
rnacentral:rRNA from 1 species